rnacentral:rRNA from 1 species
AGGAAAUAGAUACCCCGGUAGUCCACGCCGUAAACGAUGAGUACUAGGUGUAGGGGGUAUCGACCCCCUCUGUGCCGAAAGCUAAACGCGAUAAAGUACUCCGCCUGGGGACUACGGCCGCAAGGCUAAGACUCAAAGGAAUUGACGGGGGCCCGCACAAGCAGCGGAGCGUGUGGUUUAAUUCGAUGAUACGCGAAGAACCUCACCCAGGUUUGACAUGCAUGUGGUACUGAUGUGAAAGCUGAUGGACCCUUCGGGGAGCAUGCACAGGUGUUGCACGGCCGUCGUCAGCUCGUGCCGUGAGGUGUUGGGUUAAGUCCCGCAACGAGCGCAACCCCUGUCGCCAGUUGUAUUUUUCUGGCGAGACUGCCGAGAAAACCUCGGAGGAAGGAGGGAACGAUGUCAGGUCAGCGUGGCCCUUACGCCUGGGGCUACACACACGCUACAAUGGGUGGUACAACGGGCAGCCAAGCCGCGAGGCGGAGCUAAUCCCAUCAAAACCAUCCUCAGUUCGGAUUGCAGGCUGAAACUCG